AUCAAUUUACAUGUCUCUAAUAUUACGUCGAUAAUGCUAGAGGAUAAAGGACAGAGGCAUAAAUACAAGUUAAAUCAAUAGUGACCUUAUAUAUACCAACAAUGUGUCGAUUUUCCAAUUCCUGUUGAGAAACCAGGUUGCGUUUGCAGGAAAACACCAGUCAUCCUGCCUGUUCACGCCCCUCCUCCCUCCACACCCACCCAGUCAGAGACACCAACUGAGUUCACAAUAACUGUGGGUUCGCCGCACUGUACAUGAUUCAGAUUCUGGGGAUCCACAGGUUCUUUUGUCUCCUCUGCGGUAUAACAAGCACAACAGUGCCUGCUGUCUCCCUGAGGAAAGGACACUGAAACUUUGAUCUUAAGGAUGUGGAGGAUAUAUGUAGCAGCAGGCCUGUUGUGCUGAGUACAGAGCCACUGCAACGGCACAAUGUUCAUGAAUUUUGAUUCAAGUGGAGGUGCUCGCAGGCUAUCAGCUGUCAGUGUGAUUGAAGGACAGGUGGUGGUGGUGGUGGUGUCAGAAUUAGCUUGUAGCUACAGUAAGUGGCUUCCAGGACAUCCAAAUAACUGGGAUGCACAGUAGGUGAACAUAAAUCCCCACAUGCCUUUAGUGUAAAUAUGUAACCAAGACCAUGAUCUUUCCCCAACUGUAAACAAGACCUCUGAGUUCCCUAAACAUAACGAUGAAAACGCAGAUCAUCGUAGAUAUCAGGAGCAAAUAAUGUAGAAAACAUGUGAAAAAUGUCAAUUAACAUUUUGUAAAUAUGUUCAAUGUGAACAUUUUGUCACUUGGCAAAUCAGUUCAAUUAGAAUGUUUCUCUAUGUUGAUUAAAAAUAUAUUCAGGGGACAUUACAUGUCUCACAAAGCACAUUUGUUGUUGCAAAUUAGAAGUCCCUGAACAUAAUAUUUAGGAGACAGGGUUGAUGCCUGGGAAGUAAACAGAUGUUAAUGUAGAAAGCCUUUGCACAGUCACAGCUCUUUACCAUUUGAUCAGUUUUCAGAAUGUGUUCAUAGAAUAUGUUUUACACACAAAUCCAUGCACAAACAGAAAUGGAAAAAAAGAACAAUUUGUGGUUUACCUGCUGGAGCUAUUCCUUGGUGAAUAACAGUUUAUCCAUUCGACCUGCACUUCUGCAGUCUCUUAGGUGGAUGCAAGGUUAGUUGUUUCCCCCUGCGCCCAGCCUCUAUGUUAACCUAGGCUUAAUCAUGUCCUCAGUUCAGCUCUGUACUUAACACAAACACACGAAACUGAUAUCCAUCUUAUCAUCUAACUCUCAGCAAGGAAGAAAAUUACCUAUAUCUCAAAAUGUCAGCUACUUAUUUAAUGCACAAUAGCAGAUUCUCACUAUUGCCACUCAGAUGACCAACCUUUUCUCAUUCCCAGAUUGUCCAAUGCUGACACUUUGUCACGCCCCUCUGUGUCUCAUGCAGACGCACAAGGUGCCCUUAGAUGCACCGGGCUUUCAAUUAAAUCCAAUAUUAGACACUCAGAGCAACUGCCCUGGCCGUCUGUUGAUUCUGAUGUUAACCCGACUGCGGCACUCUAUGUCACUGUGAACAUCAGUCCCAUUGGAGAAAUGAAUACACACUUUUACCCCUGGAGAUGAAUUAUUACCUAGCAGUGAUUGUGCAAUAACUGCAGGGAGGCCUUUUAAGGAAACAACAAAUUCAGACAUAUCCAACUAAACAGGUGAUAGUUUCAAGAGUCUUGCCUACCUGUUCUGCAUCUGGCUCUCCACUGUUGCUGAUAUCAUCCCAGAGACCUGCAGUGUAAUCCACAGUGUUCUAAACAAUGACUGC